rnacentral:rRNA from 1 species
CCAAGGAGUUUAUCGUGUACGCAAGUCAUUGGGUGAAUAAAACCCAAAGGCGAAAUGAAAGUAAAGAGUUGAUUUUAUAAAAAGGAAUUUAUUCUUUUUUAUUUUUCUCUUAAGGGAAGAUGAAAAUUUAAUAUUAUAAUAUUUAUAUUAUUUUAUAUAAAUUUUUCGCAUUCCCAGGGCGCUUAUUUCACGCUUUGCGUGUCAAUGCGCACCUAGAGCGUACACGCUGAUACCCGAAAGAUGGUGAACUAUGCCUGGCCAGGACGAAGCCAGGGGAAACCCUGGUGGAGGUCCGCAGCGAUUCUGACGUGCAAAUCGAUCGUCGGAGCUGGGUAUAGGGGCGAAAGACCAAUCGAACCAUCUAGUAGCUGGUUCCCUCUGAAGUUUCCCUCAGGAUAGCUUGCACUCGGUUGAGAAGAGUCUCAUCCGGUAGAGCGAAUGAUUAGAGGCAUUGGGGUCGAAACGACCUCAACCUAUUCUCAAACUCCAAAUAGAUGAGACCCCCGGCUUUCUUAAAAUUGAAGCCGUGGGAAUUGGAUCAGAGUGCCAAGUGGGCCAAUUUU